CGCAGCCGCGGUAAUUCCAGCUCCAAUAGCGUAUAUUAAAGUUGUUGCAGUUAAAAAGCUCGUAGUUGAAUUUCGGGAUCAAUACGUCGGUCGUGCUUCGGUACGUACUGGCGUCAUUGAUUUCUCCCUUCUGACGAACCAUGAUGUCAUUAACUUGGUGUCAUGGGAAAUCAGGACUGUUACUUUGAAAAAAUUAGAGUGUUUAAAGCAGGCUCACGCUUGAAUACAUUAGCAUGGAAUAAUGAAAUAGGACGUUCGAUCCUAUUUUGUUGGUUUUAGGAUCAACGUAAUGAUUAAUAGGGAUAGUUGGGGGCAUUAGUAUUCAAUUGUCAGAGGUGAAAUUCUUGGAUUUAUUGAAGACUAACUACUGCGAAAGCAUUUGCCAAGGAUGUUUUCAUUAAUCAAGAACGAAAGUUAGGGGAUCGAAGACGAUCAGAUACCGUCGUAGUC
rnacentral:rRNA from 1 species